UGAAAAGCACCCCGGAAGGGGAGUGAAACAGUUCCUGAAACCGUGUGCCUACAAGUAGUUAGAGCCCGUUAAUGGGUGAUAGCGUGCCUUUUGUAGAAUGAACCGGCGAGUUACGAUUUGUUGCAAGGUUAAGCGGAAAAAGCGGAGCCGUAGCGAAAGCGAGUCUGAAUAGGGCGCAUAAGUAACAGGUCGUAGACCCGAAACCAGGUGAUCUACCCAUGUCCAGGAUGAAGGUAAGGUAAUACUUACUGGAGGUCCGAACCCACGCACGUUGAAAAGUGCGGGGAUGAGGUGUGGGUAGCGGAGAAAUUCCAAUCGAACUUGGAGAUAGCUGGUUCUCUCCGAAAUAGCUUUAGGGCUAGCCUCGAGGUAAAGAGUCAUGGAGGUAGAGCACUGUUUGGACUAGGGGCCCUUCUCGGGUUACCGAAUUCAGAUAAACUCCGAAUGCCAUGUACUUAUACUCGGGAGUCAGACUGCGAGUGAUAAGAUCCGUAGUCGAAAGGGAAACAGCCCAGACCACCAGUUAAGGUCCCCAAAUAUAUGUUAAGUGGAAAAGGAUGUGGGGUUGCUUAGACAACCAGGAUGUUGGCUUAGAAGCAGCCACCAUUGAAAGAGUGCGUAAUAGCUCACUGGUCGAGUGACCCCGCGCCGAAAAUGUACCGGGGCUAAACAUAUUACCGAAACUGUGGAUGAACCUCUUUAGAGGUUCGUGGUAGGAGAGCGUUCUAAGGGCGGUGAAGUCAGACCGGAAGGACUGGUGGAGCGCUUAGAAGUGAGAAUGCCGGUAUGAGUAGCGAAAGAAGGGUGAGAAUCCCUUCCACCGAAUAUCUAAGGUUUCCUGAGGAAGGCUCGUCCGCUCAGGGUUAGUCGGGACCUAAGCCGAGGCCGAUAGGCGUAGGCGAUGGACAACAGGUAGAGAUUCCUGUACCAGUGCUAAUUGUUUAACCGAUGGGGUGACACAGAAGGAUAGGGAAUCGCACGAAUGGAAAUGUGCGUCCAAGCAGUGAGUGUGAGAAGUAGGCAAAUCCGCUUCUCGCGAAGCAUGAGCUGUGAUGGGGAAGGAAAUUAAGUACGGAAGUUCCUGAUUUCACGCUGUCAAGAAAAGCCUCUAGGAAGAGUAGUACUGCCCGUACCGCAAACCGACACAGGUAGAUGAGGAGAGAAUCCUAAGGUGAGCGAGAGAACUCUCGUUAAGGAACUCGGCAAAAUGACCCCGUAACUUCGGGAGAAGGGGUGCUCUAUUAGGGUGCAAGCCCGAGAGAGCCGCAGUGAAUAGGCCCAGGCGACUGUUUAGCAAAAACACAGGUCUCUGCAAAACCGUAAGGUGACGUAUAGGGGCUGACGCCUGCCCGGUGCUGGAAGGUUAAGAGGAGUGCUUAGCUUCGGCGAAGGUACGAAUUGAAGCCCCAGUAAACGGCGGCCGUAACUAUAACGGUCCUAAGGUAGCGAAAUUCCUUGUCGGGUAAGUUCCGACCCGCACGAAAGGCGCAACGAUCUGGGCACUGUCUCAACGAGAGACUCGGUGAAAUUAUAGUACCUGUGAAGAUGCAGGUUACCCGCGACAGGACGGAAAG
rnacentral:rRNA from 1 species